GGAGGAAAGGGGAGACACAAGGAAGGAGAAGGGCCUUUUCAGAGCCUGCAGCGCUAUGGGAGAGUGACCAAGGAUGUUUGACAAGGGCAGAGGGAAUAAGCUACUAAGAUUAGGGUAGGAGGAGAGGCAGAGAUAAAAAAUUGCUAAGGGCGCACUCUUCCAGGUGGGAGUUAUCUGUGCUCAGCAGCAGUUGUGCCUAGUAGGGAGUGGCACUUUUAGAAGAUGUGUUCCUGUUGGAGUGGUUGUGACCUUAUUGGAGGAAGUGUGUCACUAUGGAGGCAGACUUUAAGACCCUCAUCCUAGCUGCCUGGAAGUCAGUAUUUUGCUAGCAGCCUUCAGAUGAAGAUGUAGAACUCUCAGCUCCUCCUGUACCAUGUCUGCCUGCACAUUGUCAUGCUCCCACCUUGAUCAUACUGGACUGAACCUCUCAACCUGUAAGCCAGCCCCAAUAAAAUGUUGUCUUUGUAAUAGUU
rnacentral:lncRNA from 1 species